rnacentral:lncRNA from 1 species
UGAAAAUUAGAAGAAAAACAAAAAAGCUGUAUCGAUUCUAAUUUUUGUUAUGAGCUGUUGAUUUUGCAAUGUGUGUGUUGGAAACGAUAAGGCGAUGGUUGGCGGUGGAGGUGGAGGUGGAGGUGAAGGAAGUGGAGGUGAUGGUGGAGGAGGUGGGUGUCUUUGGUGUUCUCACUCUAAAAGGAAAGGUUUUUUUUUAAGACACAGUUUUGUGUGUGUGUGUGUUUUUUUUGGUUUAUGUUUCU